UUUUUUUGGUGUAUUUUUUUGGUUUAGUUUUGUUAUUUUAGGUGUAAACGGCUUUAAUGUUCGUCGUCGAUUAAUCAUAAUAAUCUUACGCAUGUUUUUUGAUAACGACAAUUGAGAUCAUUAUGUUAAUCAGCGAGGGACUUUUUGAGGCAUGUUAAAAAUCAUUAUGAUUAAUCGAAAUGAAUCUUCCCCGAUUUUACUUUUUCCCCAAAAUGAGGCGAGGAGGCGGUGGUUAUGGCUGGGAGUUGGCCAAAAGUGGUUUAUAA
rnacentral:lncRNA from 1 species